rnacentral:misc_RNA from 1 species
UGACUUAGUUCGCAGUAUCGAUCUCCAAAACGAAUAAAAAAAAAAUCAACAUUACAUGUGAACAAGAACAUAAUAAUUUAACCCAUUCUCACUACACAACCAAGCAAAUGGUAUAUUGUUGUUUGUUAAUGGCGUUCGCUCAACUGGAUCUUUGUUGUAGUCCCAAAGCAUUUACCUUGAUUUCUUACUACGCAAUCCCAUCCGUGAUUUUGCAUAUUCCAGUCGCAUCCCCUCUCCAGACGAAGAGUGUAGAAUGGUCCCUUGAAGAUGACUCAAUGCCUCGGUUGAGCUGGCAGUGUCCUGAAAGUCAACAAAUGCAACAGGAGCUCCAUACGUACUCUGCAUCUUCAACUUUAGAAAACCCCGAAACCUUGAAAAUACUUGAAUCAGCUCUUGCUCAGUACAACUUUG